AACGAACGCUGGCGGCAUGCCUAACACAUGCAAGUCGAACGAGACCUUCGGGUCUAGUGGCGCACGGGUGCGUAACGCGUGGGAACCUGCCCUUAGGUUCGGAAUAACUCCCCGAAAGGGGUGCUAAUACCGGAUAAUGUCUUCGGACCAAAGAUUUAUCGCCUUUGGAUGGGCCCGCGUUGGAUUAGCUAGUUGGUAGGGUAAAAGCCUACCAAGGCGACGAUCCAUAGCUGGUCUGAGAGGAUGAUCAGCCACACUGGGACUGAGACACGGCCCAGACUCGUACGGGAGGGAGCAGUGGGGAAUAUUAGACGAGGGGCGAAAGCCUGAUCAAGCAAUGCCGCGUGAGUGAUGAAGGCGUUAGGGUUGUAAAGCUCUUUUACCCGGGAUGAUAAUGACAGUACCGGGAGAAUAAGCACCGGCUAACUCCGUG
rnacentral:rRNA from 1 species